AUUUUGAUAGUUAAUGAUUCUUUUGUAGUUCUUUUAUGUUGCAAUAGAGCCACUAUAAAAGCUGGCUUCAAAUCCGCUUGUCACUCAUUCAAACUUUCAAACCUCAGAAGCAAAGGUUCUCAGAUUUCUUUUUAGAAAGGAGACAAAGUGUUCAUAGACAUGAAGCCUGCUAUUCUGUUUGUUUUGGUUCUGGUGCUCAUCAGCCAGAGUGAUGGUUUAAAAUGUUACUGUCAUGGAUGGGAGGGUUGUCCCGGUGAAGUCCACGACUGCAAACCUGAAGAAACUGUGUGUCUUGGGACUGUCUUUCUUCAAGUUCCUGGUCGAUACUUGAAGAGAUGUGCAGAACCCAGCGCAUGCUCAAACCUGAACGUACCUGGUGUUGUGUAUUCCACUUGCUGCAGGACUGACUUGUGCAACUGAUGCGCUGAAGUCAGUCAAAACUGCUUUGUCAUUAACUGAUGUCUUCCACAAUAAAACAGUGUUUUACCCACAUU